AAAAUAAAAGGAAUAAAAAUUAAAAUCAGAAAAUAAAAAAAACGUGGACCACUUGAUCUGCUUCAUUAAUUGAGGUGGCAGAUCAAGUGAUUAAGCGCGCACGUUCCAUGAUGCGCCUGAGUCAAACAUCCACACACUUGGUAAUCAACAUGUAUACUCGUGAUUAAAACAUUUUGAAUCCAUCUAAUGGCUCUGGACCGUGCCACAUCGUUGCCGGAGCAAAGCGCCGAUCGUCUUCUCAGGCGACCUUGGUCGGACUGGUCCAUU
rnacentral:lncRNA from 1 species